UGUGUAAUAAGAUGAAACUAUUUUUCAUUAAACAGAGAAUGAAGCGCCAAGGCUUUCAUUUAUAACGUUGCCUCUUAUAUUUUAUUAUUGGUCUCGUAUAUGCGUUUAUUAACGCGUCUCUUUUAGCAUUUUUAUUAUUUGGUUGUUUCAAAAAUCGAUUUUUUUCCACACCAUACACAUUGCACUAUAAUAUUAUAUAAUAUAGUACCGUUCUGAAACUCUGCUUUAAGGCCUGUAGCCGGGACCG